UACGUAGGGCGCAAGCGUUAUCCGGAAUUAUUGGGCGUAAAGAGCUCGUAGGCGGUUUGUCGCGUCUGCCGUGAAAGUCCGGGGCUCAACUCCGGAUCUGCGGUGGGUACGGGCAGACUAGAGUGAUGUAGGGGGAGACUGGAAUUCCUGGUGUAGCGGUGAAAUGCGCAGAUAUCAGGAGGAACACCGAUGGCGAAGGCAGGUCUCUGGGCCACUACUGACGCUGAGAGCGAAAGCGUGGGGAGCGAACAGG
rnacentral:rRNA from 1 species